rnacentral:rRNA from 1 species
AUUGAACGCUGGCGGCAGGCCUAACACAUGCAAGUCGAACGGUAGCACAGAGAGCUUGCUCUCGGGUGACGAGUGGCGGACGGGUGAGUAACGUCUGGGAAACUGCCUGAUGGAGGGGGAUAACUACUGGAAACGGUAGCUAAUACCGCAUAACGUCGCAAGACCAAAGUUGGGGACCUUCGGGCCUCACACCAUCGGAUGUGCCCAGAUGGGAUUAGCUAGUAGGUGGGGUAAUGGCUCACCUAGGCGACGAUCCCUAGCUGGUCUGAGAGGAUGACCAGCCACACUGGAACUGAGACACGGUCCAGACUCCUACGGGAGGAAGCAGUGGGGAAUAUUGCACAAUGGGCGCAAGCCUGAUGCAGCCAUGCCGCGUGUAUGAAGAAGGCCUUCGGGUUGUAAAGUACUUUCAGCGGGGAGGAAGGCGGUGAAGUUAAUAGCUUCACCGAUUGACGUUACCCGCAGAAGAAGCACCGGCUAACUCCGUGCCAGCAGCCGCCGUAA